rnacentral:misc_RNA from 1 species
UCCGAGUUGACCCCGGCAGUCUCUCACGAGUCCCCACCAUUACGUGCUGGCAACAUGAGACAAGGGUUGCGCUCGUUGCGGGACUUAACCCAACAUCUCACGACACGAGCUGACGACAGCCAUGCACCACCUGCACACAGGCCACAAGGGAAUACCUAUCUCUAGGCACGUCCUGUGCAUGUCAAACCCAGGUAAGGUGGGGUGACGUGUCCUUGAUAGG